UACGAAGGGAGCUAGCGUUGUUCGGAAUCACUGGGCGUAAAGCGCACGUAGGCGGAUGUGUCAGUCAGGGGUGAAAUCCCGGAGCUCAACUUCGGAACUGCCUUUGAUACAGCACGUCUUGAGUCCGAUAGAGGUGGGUGGAAUUCCUAGUGUAGAGGUGAAAUUCGUAGAUAUUAGGAAGAACACCGGUGGCGAAGGCGGGCUCUCGUGGACUGGACCUGACGUGAGGCUAGGAGAACGAAGCGUGGGGGAGC
rnacentral:rRNA from 1 species